ACCCCACCCCACCCCCAGCCCGUUAGCAUCCUCGCGGCUGGAUCCAUUUGCCUCGAGUCCUUGUGGCUGGGCCUUCGGCGGGCUCUUGAAGUGAAGAGAAAGGCCUUUCCUUGGCCCGGGCUAGCCGGGUUUGGGUGUGAAAGAAGGCACGAGAGUGUCGGGCGUGCUGGAGACCGACAGUGGGGAGAAUCGGGACGCAGAAUCGAGAUGACUUCCUCCGAACCUACAAAGCAACGUCUGUUUGAUCCGGUCCUCGUGCAGAAAGGUUCGGUGAAGAUGAACAGAGCAGGUCGCCAAAGCAGCUCCUGCUUUGAAGAGAAAUUGCCCUUGUUUGAGAAAUGCCUUUGUGGUAGGUGAAUCCUUCCCUAAGAAGGCACCCUUUCCCGGUGCUUUAUUUCUCUUCACCUCCACUCAGAGCUUCAAGGGGCUUGUUUCACGUGCCACACGUUAUGUCACGUUCUUCGAAAUGUGAUGGUCAUCCUGCUGGGUUUGGAACUUUGCCAUGGAUUUUGCCAUCAAGCUCCUGGAGGAAACUCCUGAGAUGCCACCAGGUUCACAAGCAUCCACAGAAGGGGUCCAAAUGAUGUCAGAAUGGCAGCUGCAUCUCCACACUUUUGGAGCCUUGUCUCCUUUUCAUAUGCAUUCUAUAUACCCAGCCAAGGGAGAAAACAUGUAUGGCUUCACCAACAGCAUGUGGCCAAGCAACUCUCCAAAAUUGGGAAUCAGCCCAGAAGCACCAUGAAGUGGCUUGUAAUGUCAUCUUCUAAAAUCAAGACUUCUAAUAUAUUACAAAAUUGGUGGAGCUGUAUUUCUAGGGCAGCACAUCUCCUCUCGAUGUACAUUUUUUAAAAAUUUUUGAUAAAAUUGUAACACAUGGAUUUCAAAACAGUUUUUGCAGAUGUGUGUAUCAGUUACCAGUAAGAGAGUCGUGGCAAGCUGUAACGUCUACUGUGUCAACACUCAGCGGCAAACCCGAGUGUGAUGCUGAGAAAUGUAUGAAGUCAACCAAUGAGUCAUUGCUCAAUGUUCUGUUUCACAGUUCAAGCUGGCACUUUGCUCUGUCUUCCCUACUGAAUGUACAUGUCGUUCUGACAGCACAAAAAUGAAGCCAUGGAUGCAGCUGCAGUAAGCACAAAGGAAUCAGGCAAAUCUGUCUUGGCUGCAUGAUAUGUGGCAUUUCAGUCUAAUUCUUGACUUUGGAUAUUAAACAUGACCUGGCAUUGUAAUUUCACAGCUCUGGGUUUUAAUGUACACUAAUUAUACAGCAACAUGGAUAACCAUCAAAUGCCAUGGGCACCAAGCUAGAUGGUAUAAAUAUCCCAGAGAAGAAUGACCCUGAAGCUUUGAAGAAGGAAGCAUGCAGAAAGUUGCUUAGCAGUUUUCUAGUUGGCUGCCCUUGCGUUUCAGUGAAUGUGGCUGAAUGUCUUCUGAUGACAAUCCUGAAAGAUAAACUGCAGAGGUGAGGAAGUAAAUCAGAAGCAGGCCUGUUUUAUGUCAACUUUACUCAACUCCUUUCUUCACUGAAGAUGUUAUACUGUAAUAAUUUUCUGAAUCCCUUUUUAAUUAGGGAGAAAAAUGAAACAAAAUUGUUUCAGCUCCCUAGGAACUGUCAUUUGUAGCUGCAUACCCAUUGUUGCAGACAAUGAAGACUUUGUAUCUUGUAAUAAUUAAAGAAUAUAAAAACAUCGCUUUCAGUACUAAAACAAUAUAUUUAAUGGCUGCCUGGAAGUAAUAUUCAGCUUGUUGAAAUAUGUUGCACAAUAUUUCAGACUGAUAAUUUUCAAAUAGAAAAGUAUGCUGGGGGAAAAAGAGGUCACAUAUUAUCUGCUGCCACUGGACACUGUUGUGGUGCAGGUCAGUGAACAAUAAUAAGUAUUUGCUUUAUACAAACCACUUUUCAAAAUGCAGGUACGACCACAAUUGAGCACAAAAUUUCAAUUGCUCUGCAAGACAAGUGUUAAGUGAGUUUUGCCCAGGGAUGCUAUUCAGCAGGUUCUGACAGGUUCUGGAGAACUGAAAUGUUGAGUAGUUCAGAGAACCGGCAAAUACCACCUCUGGCUGGCCCCAGAGUGGGGUGGGAAUGGAGAUUUUGCAAUAUCCUUCCCUUGGAGUAGGGUGGGAUGGAGAUUUUGCAGUAUCCGUCCCCUGCCAUGCCCACCAAGCCAUACCCACAGAACCGGUAGUAAAAAAAUUUGGAUUUCACCACCGGUUUUGCCCCAUUUUAUGACCUUUCUUGCCACAGUUGUUAAGGGAAUCACUACAGUUGUUAAGUUAGGAACAUGGUUAUUAAAUGAAUCUGGUUUCCCUAUUAAUUUUGCUUGUCAGAAGUUGAUCACAUGACCUGGGACACUGCAACCAUCAUAAAUACAUGUCAGUUGCCAAGUGUCCAAAUUUUGAUCAUGUGAGCAUGAGAAUGCUGCAAUGGUCAUAAGUGUGUCACUUUUUUCAGUGCCAUUCAAACUUUGAACAGUCAUUAAACAAAAGAUUGUAAGUCAAGGACUAUCCCUAAAAGAUGGAUUCCCAAGCACUAUAUACCUAUAGUACCAACUGCAGAUCAUUUAUAGAUCACACAUAAUGAGGAUUCCCACCAACUCUGGCUUAGAAUAGGCAUUGCUAUGCUAAUCCCUCUUCCACUGUUACCUUUUAAUCUCUGAAUUAUGAACAAAUUGUUUUCAUUUCCUUAGGAAUACAAUACACAAAAAAUAGAGCUAAACUGCAAAUUGUUGAAUUUAAAAUAACAGCCUGGAAAUAAAUAUGAGACAUGGAGCAAAAGAAAGCAUCUCGAAGGUCUUCUGGAGAAUUGAUGAAUGUAUAGUUUUUCAGACUGUUUUUUAGUCUGCUGUUCAGACUCUGUCCUUCGUUGAAUGGGACAUUUUUGUUACUACAGUUGCCCUAUUUCUUAUUUACCACACUACAAAAUUAAUGGUGGUGUUAUUUUCUAUAGUUUACAAGGAAUUAGUAUUUAAUAAAGGUGCAAUAGUUUUGGCAUUUAAAAAAAGGUAAAACUAAUUCAUUAAAAAAACAUAAAAUGCUAUUUAAUAUCUACACAAAGCCAUUAAGUGAUACUAUUCAGUGGCUGAGGUAUGAAAUAUCAAUGAGUAGAAGGAACCCAGUUGUAUCUCUGUAUCCCAAAUAGGCAUGAAUAAUGGUAGAAGUCUUGACCCAGUGUCACAGGGCUGUAAAAAUCGGGAUCUAUAGCAACAAUGAGAUUUAAAUUUUAAAAAAAUAAGAAAUUGUUAUUAUUUCUUAAGCACCAUUGCCCAGGAGAUGCCCAGUUGGGGAUUCCUUUCAUGUCCCUGUUAAAUGCCCACUAAAGUGAUACCUAUUUAUCUGACUGACAUUAACUCUAGAUCGGGUUUUGUGCCCACAGAAUAAACUGAUCUAUAAUCUUGGGUGCUCUUAGACCAACAGCUUUUGCUGAAACAAUACAUGGAAACUGCAUCAAGGACACCUUUGAUUACUUUUGACUUCUGUGUCAUUACAGCUAUUCCUAGUACAUUCUCCUUUUCAUAUCUUGAUUGGACUAUUAUGAGUGUACGUGGGACAUGCCCUUGUCUGGGCAUGUCCCAUGUACAGCUGGUAGAAAAUGCAACUUCCUGUGGAGUAAUGACAAUGCCCUGAUAUUGUCAUGUAACGGUCUGCAUUAUUUUAUGGUUGUUUAUGGGUGAAGUUCAAGGUGCUAAUAAGUUAUAAACCACUAAAACUCACCUAACCUUUAGCUGUGCAGAAUAGUGCAUUUUAGGGUAAUGAUUUUGAAACCAAGGUACCUCAAAUGAGUUAACUUAUAGAAUGCGCUCCAAAUUUGGAACCCCGUGACUCCUGUGGAAUUGAAAUUGGGCAUAUUUUAUAAAACAUUUUAUAACAUAAUACAAAAUGUCACAAAACAUUUCCUGUGCUCAAUUGCUGAUGUUUUACUAUGCUGUAAAAUUCAACACGGGCCAUUUUCAAGGCAGAUACAUCUCUGAAUAGCUCCCUGAUUUUUUUUGAAAAGUUUCCCCUGAAAGCACUACCUUAGUUCUGCCAUUGUUGAAGGCAUCGAGGAAUCUGGUAAUUCAUAUCUCUGAAAUGAUGACCUAACAGAUCACGGGUUGUCUAGUAACCUUAUAAUGCUCUACAAGCCUGCCACUAAGGAGUUUGUGAGGCUAUUUGCUCCAAACAAAAUGUGUCCACCAAGCAAUGCUGGUAGACAGUGCAUAAUAAGAGUCCUGCUUUCCAUUAACAAUUGUGGAGGAGACAUUCUUUGCCAGAGUUCCUUCCUGUGAAAUCAUCACCCACAACCUUUUUAACAUACAGAAAGCUUAUUCACAUAUGGGUGUUUAAGUGGGCAUUUGGGGAUUGAAUGGUCUGGUGAAAUAUGCAUAUGUGGGCCGGGGGGGUACUACUUCUUCCUGUUUUAUUGCUAUUGUGCCAUUGAUUUCGUUGUGAUACACAAUGUGUGUGUGUGUGUUUGUGUAUGUACACACAUACACGUAUAUAUAUUAUAAAACUUUUGUAAGUUGCUUAGGUUCACUUGAUUGAAGUGACAUUAAAGCAUUUGUGACACAUGGAAUAUAAGCUAGAUCUUUUUAAAACGUUUCUUUGGGUAGAUGGGCAGUUAUGAGCAUUUGUUUAAUUGAUAAAUAAAUGUUUUUAUUUGUAUUUACCAUGCUAUUAAAAACUGCCCUGCAUAAAAGAAA